UACGUAGGCAGCGAGCGUUGUUCGGAGUUACUGGGCGUAAAGGGUGCGUAGGCGGUUUUCCAAGUUUGGUGUGAAAUCUCCCGGCUUAACUGGGAGGGUGCGCCGAAAACUAGGAGACUUGAGUACCGGAGAGGUAAGCGGAAUUCCUGGUGUAGCGGUGAAAUGCGUAGAGAUCAGGAGGAACACCUGUGGUGUAGACAGCUUACUGGACGGUCACUGACGCUGAGGCACGAAAGCGUGGGAAGCAAACAGG
rnacentral:rRNA from 1 species